rnacentral:rRNA from 1 species
GACGAACGCUGGCGGCGUGCUUAACACAUGCAAGUCGAACGGAAAGGCCCUGCUUUUGUGGGGUGCUCGAGUGGCGAACGGGUGAGUAACACGUGAGUAACCUGCCCUUGACUUUGGGAUAACUUCAGGAAACUGGGGCUAAUACCGGAUAGGAGCUCCUGCUGCAUGGUGGGGGUUGGAAAGUUUCGGCGGUUGGGGAUGGACUCGCGGCUUAUCAGCUUGUUGGUGGGGUAGUGGCUUACCAAGGCUUUGACGGGUAGCCGGCCUGAGAGGGUGACCGGCCACAUUGGGACUGAGAUACGGCCCAGACUCCUACGGGAGGCAGCAGUGGGGAAUAUUGCACAAUGGGCGGAAGCCUGAUGCAGCAACGCCGCGUGCGGGAUGACGGCCUUCGGGUUGUAAACCGCUUUCGCCUGUGACGAAGCGUGAGUGACGGGAAUGGUAAAGAAGCACCGGCUAACUACGUG